rnacentral:rRNA from 1 species
AUUGAACGCUGGCGGCAUGCCUUACACAUGCAAGUCGAACGGUAACGGGCCUUCGGGUGCCGACGAGUGGCGAACGGGUGAGUAAUGUAUCGGAACGUGCCUUUCAGUGGGGGAUAACGUAGCGAAAGUUACGCUAAUACCGCAUAUUCUGUGAGCAGGAAAGCAGGGGAUCGCAAGACCUUGCGCUGAUUGAGCGGCCGAUAUCAGAUUAGCUAGUUGGUGAGGUAAAGGCUCACCAAGGCGACGAUCUGUAGCGGGUCUGAGAGGAUGAUCCGCCACACUGGAACUGAGACACGGUCCAGACUCCUACGGGAGGCAGCAGUGGGGAAUUUUGGACAAUGGGGGCAACCCUGAUCCAGCCAUGCCGCGUGUGUGAAGAAGGCCUCGGGUUGUAAAGCACUUUAAGACGGGGAGGGAAGGGCCGUGAUGGCUAAUAUCCAUCGGGA